rnacentral:rRNA from 1 species
UACAGAGGUCUCAAGCGUUGUUCGGAUUCAUUGGGCGUGAAGGGUGCGUAGGUGGCGCCGUAAGUCGGGUGUGAAAUUUCGGAGCUUAACUCCGAAACUGCAUUCGAUACUGCGGUGCUUGAGGACUGGAGAGGAGACUGGAAUUCAUGGUGUAGCAGUGAAAUGCGUAGAGAUGCGGAGGAACACCGAUGGCGAAGGCAGCCCCCUGGGCCAAUACUGACGCUCAGGCACGAAAGCGUGGGGAGCAAACAGG